AAAGUAAAUCGAUCGACCGCGCGUAAGCGAGGAAAGUCUGCGCUCCACAGAGCAAGAGUGCCUGUUAACGACAGGUGGAGGCGACUCCAAGGCAAGUGCAACAGAAAUAAACCGCCUGAAAAGGUAAGGAUGGAAAGGCGAGGUAAGAGCUCACCGGAUCUAUAGUGAUAUAGAUGCCCUGUAAACCCCACUCGGAGCAAGACCAAAUAGGAAUAGAGAUGCUGCUCGUAUCUCCCGGUAGGUAGGUCGCUUGAGCUUAUAGGCAACUAUAAGAUUAGAUAGAUGGUCGAACAGACAGAACGCAGCUUAUAGAUUUACUUAAAAA
rfam:Peptoniphilus sp. BV3C26 contig00024, whole genome shotgun sequence.